ACACACGCUACAAUGGCCAGGUACAAUGGGUUGCCAAGCCGCGAGGCGGAGCCAAUCCUAAAAAGACUGGCCUCAGUUCAGAUUGCAGUCUGCAACUCGACUGCAUGAAGUUGGAGUUGCUAGUAACCGCAGGUCAGCAAUACUGCGGUGAAUACGUUCCCGGGUCUU
rnacentral:rRNA from 1 species